rnacentral:rRNA from 1 species
AAGGCCUUUGGGCUGUAAACCUCUUUUCUCAAGGAAGAAGAUCUGACGGUACUUGAGGAAUAAGCCACGGCUAAUUCCGUGCCAGCAGCCGCGGUAAUACGGGAGUGGCAAGCGUUAUCCGGAAUUAUUGGGCGUAAAGCGUCCGCAGGUGGCCUAGCAAGUCCGUUGUUAAAUCGUGGGGCUUAACCCCAUCAUGAUGGUGGAAACUGCUGGGCUUGAGUGUGGUAGGGGCAGAGGGAAUUCCCGGUGUAGCGGUGAAAUGCGUAGAUAUCGGGAAGAACACCAGUGGCGAAGGCGCUCUGCUGGGCCAUCACUGACACUCAUGGACGAAAGCCAGGGGAGCGAAAGGGAUUAGAUACCCCUGUAGUCCUGGCCGUAAACGAUGAACACUAGGUGUCGGGGGAAUCGACCCCUUCGGUGCCGUAGCCAACGCGUUAAGUGUUCCGCCUGGGGAGUACGCACGCAAGUGUGAAACUCAAAGGAAUUGACGGGGGCCCGCACAAGCGGUGGAGUAUGUGGUUUAAUUCGAUGCAACGCGAAGAACCUUACCAGGGCUUGACAUCCUGCGAAUCUCUGAGAAAUUGGAGAGUGCCUUCGGGAACGCAGUGACAGGUGGUGCAUGGCUGUCGUCAGCUCGUGUCGUGAGAUGUUGGGUUAAGUCCCGCAACGAGCGCAACCCACGUCUUUAGUUGCCAGCAUUAAGUUGGGCACUCUAGAGAGACCGCCGGUGACAAACCGGAGGAAGGUGUGGACGACGUCAAGUCAUCAUGCCCCUUACGUCCUGGGCUACACACGUACUACAAUGCUACGGAUAAAGGGCAGCAAACUCGCGAGAGCUAGCAAAUCCCGUAAACCGUGGCUCAGUUCAGAUCGUAGGCUGCAACUCGCCUACGUGAAGUAGGAAUCGCUAGUAAUCGCAGNUCAGCAUACUGCGGUGAAUACG